rnacentral:rRNA from 1 species
CCUACGGGAGGCAGCAGUGGGGAAUAUUGCACAAUGGGGGAAACCCUGAUGCAGCGACGCCGCGUGAGUGAAGAAGUAAUUCGUUAUGUAAAGCUCUAUCAGCAGGGAAGAAAAUGACGGUACCUGAGUAAGAAGCCCCGGCUAACUACGUGCCAGCAGCCGCGGUACUACGUAGGGGGCCAGCGUUAUCCGGAUUUACUGGGUGUAAAGGGAGCGUAGUCGGCAGUGCAAGUCUGGAGUGAAAGGCGGGGGCUCAACCCCCGGACUGCUCUGGAAACUGUACGGCUGGAGUGCAGGAGAGGUAGGUGGAAUUCCUAGUGUAGCGGUGAAAUGCGUAGAUAUUAGGAAGAACACCAGUGGCGAAGGCAGCUUACUGGACUGUAACUGACGUUGAGGCUCGAAAGCGUGGGGAGCAAACAGGAUUAGAUACCCCUGUAGUC